rnacentral:rRNA from 1 species
AUGAACGCUGGCGGCGUGCCUAAUACCUGCAAGUCGAGCGAACAGACGAGGAGCUUGCUCCUCUGACGUUAGCGGCGGACGGGUGAGUAACCCGUGGAUAACCUACCUAUAAGACUGGGAUAACUUCGGGAAACCGGAGCUAAUACCGGAUAAUAUAUUUAACCGCAUGGUUCAAUAGUGAAAGACGGUUUUGCUGUCACUUAUAGAUGGAUCCGCGCCGCAUUAGCUAGUUGGUAAGGUAACGGCUUACCAAGGCAACGAUGCGUAGCCGACCUGAGAGGGUGAUCGGCCACACUGGAACUGAGACACGGUCCAGACACCUACGGGAGGCAGCAGUAGGGAAUCUUCCGCAAUGGGCGAAAGCCUGACGGAGCAACGCCGCGUGAGUGAUGAAGGUCUUCGGAUCGUAAAACUCUGUUAUUAGGGAAGAACAAAUGUGUAAGUAACUAUGCACGUCUGGACGGUACCUAAUCAGAAAGCCACGGCUAACUACGU